rnacentral:rRNA from 1 species
CCUACGGGUGGCAGCAGUGGGGGAUAUUGCACAAUGGGGGAAACCCUGAUGCAGCGACGCCGCGUGAGUGAUGAAGUAUUUCGGUAUGUAAAGCUCUAUCAGCAGGGAAGAAAAUGACGGUACCUGACUAAGAAGCACCGGCUAACUACGGGCCAGCAGCCGCGGUAAUACGUAGGGGGCAAGCGUUAUCCGGAUUUACUGGGUGUAAAGGGAGCGUAGACGGCAGUGCAAGUCUGUAGUGAAAGGCAGGGGCUCAACCCUUGGACUGCUUUGGAAACUGUGCGGCUGGAGUGCAGGAGAGGUAAGUGGAAUUCCUAGUGUAGCGGUGAAAUGCGUAGAUAUUAGGAGGAACACCAGUGGCGAAGGCGGCUUACUGGACUGUGACUGACGUUGAGGCUCGAAAGCGUGGGGAGCAAACAGGAUUAGAUACCCUAGUAGUC